rnacentral:lncRNA from 1 species
GGAGCAUGACUCUCUACCUCUUCAUCUACUGCUCUCUGUGACUCAGAUGACAUCUUUUAUAUGACCUAAAAACACAAAGAAGAGAUUUACAUCAGAACCAUAUCAUAGCUGUAACUCAUUUUGGCAUGUACAUAUAUGACACAUAUACACAUACAUACUAUGACCUAGAAUCGCCUAAACCUUUGCUCUGAUACCACUAAUUGUAACACCCCUUACC